AGAGUUUGAUCAUGGCUCAGGACGAACGCUGGCGGCGUGCCUAAUACAUGCAAGUCGAGCGGAAUGAUGAAGAAGCUUGCUUCUUCUGAUUUUAGCGGCGGACGGGUGAGUAACACGUGGGCAACCUACCUUGUAGAUUGGGAUAACUCCGGGAAACCGGGGCUAAUACCGAAUAAACCAUUUUGCUUCAUGGCAAGAUGUUGAAAGGCGGCUUCGGCUGUCACUACUAGAUGGGCCCGCGGCGUAUUAGCUAGUUGGUAGGGUAAUGGCCUACCAAGGCGACGAUACGUAGCCGACCUGAGAGGGUGAUCGGCCACACUGGGACUGAGACACGGCCCAGACUCCUACGGGAGGCAGCAGUAGGGAAUCUUCCACAAUGGACGAAAGUCUGAUGGAGCAACGCCGCGUGAGUGAAGAAGGUUUUCGGAUCGUAAAACUCUGUUGUAAGGGAAGAACACGUACGAGAGUAACUGCUCGUACCUUGACGGUACCUUAUUAGAAAGCCACGGCUAACUACGUGCCAGCAGCCGCGGUAAUACGUAGGUGGCAAGCGUUGUCCGGAAUUAUUGGGCGUAAAGCGCGCGCAGGCGGUUCUUUAAGUCUGAUGUGAAAGCCCACGGCUCAACCGUGGAGGGUCAUUGGAAACUGGAGAACUUGAGUACAGAAGAGGAAAGCGGAAUUCCACGUGUAGCGGUGAAAUGCG
rnacentral:rRNA from 1 species